UACGUAGGAGGCGAGCGUUGUCCGGAGUUACUGGGCGUAAAGGGUGCGUAGGUGGUCGGGUAAGUCUGAUGUGAAAUCUCCGAGCUUAACUCGGAAAUGGCAUUGGAUACUAUUCGGCUAGAGGGUUUGAGGGGGGACUGGAAUACUUGGUGUAGCAGUGAAAUGCGUAGAUAUCAAGUGGAACACCAGUGGCGAAGGCGAGUCCCUGGAAAACUCCUGACACUGAGGCACGAAAGCUAGGGGAGCAAACAGG
rnacentral:rRNA from 1 species